AGCUCUGUGCAGUGGUAGUAUCAUAGCCAAUGAGGUUUAUCUGAGGCGCGAUUAUUGCUAAUUGAAAGACUCAAAAUUCCCAGCUUGGCUAACUACUGGCGUAUCAUUUGGG
rnacentral:snRNA from 1 species